rnacentral:misc_RNA from 1 species
GAUGAAGAACGCAGCGAAAUGCGAUAAGUAAUGUGAAUUGCAGAAUUCAGUGAAUCAUCGAAUCUUUGAACGCACAUUGCGCCCGCCAGUAUUCUGGCGGGCAUGCCUGUUCGAGCGUCAUUUCAACCAUCAAGCCCCAGGCUUGUGUUGGGGACCUGCGGCUGCCGCAGGCCCUGAAAACCAGUGGCGGGCUCGCUGUCACACCGGGCGUAGUAGAUUUUAUCUCGCUCAGGGCGUGCUGCGGGUUCCGGCCGUUAAAAAGCCUUUUUUACCCAAGGUUGACCUCGGAUCAGGUAGGAUGACCCGCUGAACUUAAGCAUAUCAAUAAGCGGAGGA